AUGUUGUGUUGUAUCUACUCUCACCUUGCCCCAGUAAUGUUGUGUUGUAUCUACUCUCACCUAGCCCCAGUAAUGUUGUGUUGUAUCUACUCUCACCUAGCCCCAGUAAUGUUGUGUUGUAUCUACUCUCACCUAGCCCCAGUAAUGUUGUGUUGUAUCUACUCUCACAUUGCCCCAGUAAUGUUGUGUUGUAUCUACUCUCACCUAGCCCCAGUAAUGUUGUGUUGUAUCUACUCUCACCUUGCCCCAGUAAUGUUGUGUUGUAUCUACUCUCACCUAGCCCCAGUAAUGUUGUGUUGUAUCUACUCUCACCUAGCCCCAGUAAUGUUGUGUUGUAUCUACUCUCACCUAGCCCCAGUAAUGUUGUGUUGUAUCUACUCUCACCUAGCCCCAGUAAUGUUGUGUUGUAUCUACUCUCACCUAGCCCCAGUAAUGUUGUGUUGUAUCUACUCUCACCUUGCCCCAGUAAUGUUGUGUUGUAUCUACUCUCACCUUGCCCCAGUAAUGUUGUGUUGUAUCUACUCUCACCUAGCCCCAGUAAUGUUGUGUUGUAUCUACUCUCACCUAGCCCCAGUAAUGUUGUGUUGUAUCUACUCUCACCUAGCCCCAGUAAUGUUGUGUUGUAUCUACUCUCACCUAGCCCCAGUAAUGUUGUGUUGUAUCUACUCUCACCUAGCCCCUGUAAUGUUGUUGUAUCUACUCUCACCUAGCCCCAGUAAUGUUGUGUUGUAUCUACUCUCACCUUGCCGCAGUAAUGUUGUGUUGUAUCUACUCUCACCUAGCCCCAGUAAUGUUGUGUUGUAUCUACUCUCACCUUGCCGCAGUAAUGUUGUGUUGUAUCUACUCUCACCUUGCCCCAGUAAUGUUGUGUUGUAUCUACUCUCACCUAGCCCCAGUAAUGUUGUGUUGUAUCUACUCUCACCUAGCCCCAGUAAUGUUGUGUUGUAUCUACUCUCACCUAGCCCCAGUAAUGUUGUGUUGUAUCUACUCUCACCUAGCCCCAGUAAUGUUGUGUUGUAUCUACUCUCACCUUGCCCCAGUAAUGUUGUGUUGUAUCUACUCUCACCUAGCCCCAGUAAUGUUGUUGUAUCUACUCUCACCUAG
rnacentral:lncRNA from 1 species